AGGCAUAGGAGACAGCCCGCUGGGAAGAACGCGCAUUCCCAGUACCCUAGAAGAAUUUCUAAAUUUCCAUGGGUAAAUGUCCCAUCUGUCUCAAGUUUUGAAGAUGGAACUGGCAGAUCAACAGAUGCAUCAGAUUACUUUAAAUGGCACAGCUAGAAUUUGAACCCAGGUCUCAGUGACUGGAAAGCCCAUGCUCUCAUCUUCUACCUCCUAGGAAGAGCUCUUGUCCUCGAGGAAAAAAUCUCUCCUGUACUGUCUCCCAUGGCAUCCACUUAAGGGUACUGGCAGUAGUGACUACCAACACCUUGGCAGAGUGUGUAUGACUUUGGCUGGAUGCAGCUGUGACUAGUUGGCAGUAAAGAAGCAAUUGAAGACCACUGGGCAGCUACAGUAGCAACAAGAUGACCUCUACUUUUUGUGCCAGAGACCUUGACCUUCAAUUACUUAUUUCUGUAAUUUCUUGGUCAAUAAGAGAUUCUGACAUAAGUUGAAAUGAUCAAGUAUGUUUCCUGAGUGACUUCCAGCUCUGGAAGGAUGAAAUCCUACGAGGGCCAGCGGCUAAGGAAGUUCACUUUGAGAACAAUGUGGCCACUGCAUUGGAAGAAAACUGAAAGGAUCAAGACUAUCCUCUUUCACAUCCUCGGCUUUUCUGGGAUUUGCCUGAUGGGGAGUGAGACUGAAAGUGAACUGACCUCAGGUGAUCUGGAUGCAGUGGUGUAAAGGAGCCAAUGUUUAUUUCCACAAAGUUCUCCUGCUGAACUCCAUUUUUCUAUACUGUGUAGUUCCAGCUUCAUGCCAAUUGAGGGUAAGAUUCUCUGGCUCAAAGAAACCUGGCCAAUUACAAUGAUGGUACAUUUCCCUCUCCUUCCUCCUCCCUCUCCCCUCUAACCCCUGCAUUGUUUAAAGGUCAGCUCUAUAAAAGUAAUAAUCUAAAUGCAUGAUAAAAACAAUAUUUAGUGAUGUGAAAGAAAGCCCUUUGCCCAAUACCAUCCCUUCAUCCAACUUUCUACGUGCAGUAGUUUUUGACCAUUUCUGUUUUUUAUUCUUGUGGUAGGUAUUUUCAUAUCUCCAAAUAAUAGCCUUAUAACUCCAUUAUAUUAAUAUAUAUAUUAUAUAUUGUCAGUGGAUCCUUAAAACUAUAAAAGAAACUUAGCUCGCAUACGGUAAUACACUGUACCUGACCUCCAAUAUACAAAUUUCAGUAAAUAUUUUGGCUUCCUCCAUUGGCUUAAUAUUAUAAAUAGUGAACUUCAGUAUGUUUUUAUUGAUAUGAUAACCUUAAAUAUGUGUAUUGACUCUCUAAUAAGUCAAAUGUAAAAAUGUGUAUUUCUUGCACUCCUUCCUUUUUGGCUUGUAUUAAUUUUCCCUGGGCCAUAGUUAAGUUUUAUAGACAACUCCAGGGGGCACCAUUCAUUCAUAUGUUUGCAUAGUUAGUGCAGUAAAGUGUCUUGUAGAGGGAAUACUAUUUUGUAAUUCAUAUAAAUACACUGUUUGGCCCAAAAUAGACAAGAUAAAUCUUGUGCAGAAUAUUCUGCAACUCUAAUGAAGUGUUUUGUCCAGAUGUCUAUUCUAAAACCUGAAAACCUGUAAAUCUGAUAACUUUGUAUAUUUUUCACUCUGGAAUUAAUAAGUGUGAUAUGAGCCUUCUGGAAAUGUAGACUCCAAGGUGAUUCAAGUUCUGCUGUUUAUAGAAGAACGUCCCUAAGCAUGCAAGUUGAAGAAUUAUCUUAUUUUACAUGACUUCACUUGAUUUAAAAUCAUGUUACAUUUCAAUUUGCUUCAUAUUUUGACCACAAAAAUUUGUUUUGGCUUUCUUUUUUUGCCUUGAGUUUUUAAUUGCAAUUUUUUUGAUGGUUGAAAGACUAUCAUUAAAUCUUCAAUGAAAUAUUUGUUAAAGUUACUUUUAUUUAUUUGUUUUUAUUAAAAUACAGUUGAUUUUCAAUGUUUUACCAAUUUCUGCUGUACCGCAAAGUAACUCUGACACACACAUACACAUUCUUAAAUAUUACUUUUCAUCAUGGUUUAUCUCAGGAAAUUGGAUUUAAUUUCCUGUGCCAUACAGAAGGGUCUCAUUGUCUACCUACUCUAAAUGUAAUACUUUGCAUCUAUUAACACUGAACUCCCAGUCCAUCCUCCUCCCCCGGGCAACCACAAGUCUGUUCUCCAUGCCUGUGAGUCUGUUUCUGUUUUGUAGAUAGGUUCAUUUGUGUCAUAUUUUAGAUUCUACAUAUAAGUAUUAUCCAUAGUAUUUGCCCUUCUCUUUCUGACCUACUUCACUUGGUAGGGUAAUUUCUAGUUGCAUCCACAUUGCUGUGAAUGACAUUAUUUCAUUCUUUUUUAUGGCUGAGUAGUAUUCUAUUGCAGGUAUGUACCACAUCUUCUUUAUCCAUUCAUCUGUCAGUGGGCAUUUGGGUUGUUUGUUUUGGCUAUUGCAAAUAGGCUUCAAGCUACUUUUUAAAUAACCUCCUUCGAGAAAAACUUGCAAUUUUCGUUUUUUUCUAGAUCAAACGGACCUAAAUUCCUUGGUCAGCAGUUCAGUUUUUUUCCUUAGGAUUUUUAAUGUUUUUUAACCUCCCUGCCUUUGAUUAGGUUCACCACUUUUUGGAUCUCAUGUUCUCCUUUAUCCUAAAAUUCAUAUUGUGUUUUCUGGAAUGCAACACAGUGAUUUUUGUUAAAGUUACCUCCUAUGCACAUUUUUUUUAAGCCUUAAAAUGUUUGAAUUUCUUCCAUUCCUACUCUAAAAUAAGGAAAAUUAUACUCUAGAAUAUGUCAAUCUAUGCCGAGAAUCUAAUCUUUCCCAGUUGGUUAGUACAUUUUCUUCUAAAGAACACAUCUUCCUCUAUGGUCUGAGUAUGAACAUCAUGCCGCCAGCCUUUCUUAAAGUGAUAUGGUUCUGCUCCAUCAUUUUUAAUGCUUUCUUAGUGGUCCACUAUUGAUUUAACUAAAUGAUAAUCAAUGGGAAUCCAGUUUGUUUUUAAGAAACUUUAGAACUCUUGCUCUACAACAAUCCUAUGAAGAACAUGAUUUCCUUUAUUUAAAAACAAUGAACUCUGAUACACAGCGUAUUCUAUGCCAGUACCUGUCUAUGUACUUGGUACAUACUACUUACUAAUUGGUACAGUAACCCUAGGAGGUAGUUACUGUUUUAUUUCCAUUUUACAGAUAGGGAAACUGAUGCAUAGAGAGAUUAAGUAACUUGCACAAAGUCAAACAGCUUAUAGAUGAAAAAGUUAGGAGUGGAGGUCAAGCUGUUUCACUUGAGUCCCUGCUCUUAAUCUAUCUGCAUAAGAUAGUUUCCUUUGCAUAAGUCCCUGGAUGUGAAAUUGAGAGAUAACAGACAGGAUAUCCCAUCUUGAUUAAAGAAGAAAGCACUCCUGAUAAUUCUUUAUAGGUGCAUAAGCAAGAGAAUAUUAGAGUGAUAUAAUCUGGAGUUUGAGUUUCAUAAUGAAAAUUCCAAAGACUGGCUCCAGAGUGGCUCAUACGGAUUCUUGGUCCUAAAGGGGCUGGCUCUGAGAGCUGGAGGAAUCCUAUCCAUUUACAGUUCUGCAGUGGAAAAAUUGAUUCGGAACUAGCAAAAGUCGAUUUUAUCAUCUCUGCCUUGUAGGGAACUUAGGUUGUUCUGUUUAUUCUCUAGAGAGGGAGGAAAAAAAAAAAAAACUCAAUAGAAAAUUGGGUUAGUUAUGGCCUAGCAGUUGCACCAUGCUGCAUUUGGAACAUCUCACUUUAAAAGUGUAAUCCACAGUUUAUAUAGUUUUAUUAAAAAAAAAGGGCUAAUGUGUUUAGGGAAAUAGAGCCCGGGGCAGGGGAAGGCAUGUUAAUGCGUAAAAGCGAAAGGGCUGUCAGAAUAACCUUGCAGUGAGCUGGUAUUUAUAUCAAGAUUAUAUAGUCAUUCAAGAAAGUUUUUUGCUAAACAAUGGGCAAAUUUGCCCCUUGUCUCCCUGCCCCCCGCCUUUUUUAGAAGGGAAAUGAAGGUUUUGAAUGGCUAUAAUUUAUUCAUCAGUUUCUGCUGCUAGGCUUCUGCAUGCCAAAAGAGGAAAUUUUACAAAGCUGAUGGUACAAAGAAUGUGGCAAUUACUAAAUUUUACUGCAUAUUUUUAUUUGCUAUCAGGUAAUGGAGUGGCAACAGAGGAUACUUGUGGUGAAGGAUAAUAAAGGAGUAAUUGGUAUAGUUUAGCUAAUGAAAAAGCCUUUUGAAAGAAGUGGUGUUAAAAAAAAAAAAAAAAAA
rnacentral:lncRNA from 9 species